GGCUACAAGACUCAACUUUACACUAAAUUGUCUUUCGCGAUGGAAGCUACAACUUCUGGAACUAAAUCGCUAGUGAUUGACAAAAACCCUCCGAUUGUGCCAACAGAAUCUCAACAACAACAAGACCCCAGAUAUAAGAUGAAGUAUGUAAACUUCACUCUUUCCAAAGCAUAUGGUCCUUUGUUGGGAAGAUUAAAGUCGGAAGAUGUGGCAAGUGUUUU